rnacentral:rRNA from 1 species
AUCGAACGCUGGCGGCAGGCCUAACACAUGCAAGUCGAGCGAGCGGCGGACGGGUGAGUAAUGCCUGGGAAUUGCACAGUCGAGGGGGAUAACAGUUGGAAACGACUGCUAAUACCGCAUACGAUUGGAUUGCUCAUGUGGGAUUAGCUAGUUGGUGGGGUAAUGGCUCACCAAGGCGACGAUCCCUAGCUGGUCUGAGAUGAUGAUCAGCCCCACGGUAACUGAGAAACGGUCCAGACUCCUACGGGAGGCAGCAGUGGGGAAUAUUGCACAAUGGGGGAAACCCUGAUGCAGCCAUGCCGCGUGAGUGAAGAAGGCCUUCGGGUUGUAAAGCACUUUCAGCGAGGAAGCGUUACUCGCAGAAGAAGCACCGGCUAACUCCGUGCCAGCCGCCGCGGUAAUAC